rnacentral:misc_RNA from 1 species
AAUUCCAACCAUCCCACGCCCACAACCCCCCCCCCCCCUUCCAAAACAACUUUUUUGUGGGGUGGAGGGGACUAAUAAAACCUAUCUAUCUCCAGGAUGACAGCAGGAAGCCAGAAAAGACUUAUGGGCCCAAUUCAAAUCCAAGACACAUCAUACCAAAGGAAGUAAAAACAGAGACAAGUUUUAACAUUAAUCACAAGAUCAAAUUAGUAACACCAAAUCGUACCCAAGUAAAUCAUAGCAGACCAAGUCAAGCUCAUAUAAAUCAUGCUGGACUCA